rnacentral:tRNA from 1 species
AAAGAAUUAGUUAAUAUAUAACAUUAAUAUGUCAAAUUAAAAUUAUUACAAAGUAAUAUUCUUUU